rnacentral:tRNA from 1 species
GCCGAGGUGGCGGAAUAGGCAGACGCGCUAGGUUGAGGGCCUAGUGGGGUAUUUCAAUCCCCGUAAGGGUUCAAGUCCCUUCCUCGGCA